rnacentral:misc_RNA from 1 species
GAAAUGCGAUAAGUAAUGUGAAUUGCAGAAUUCAGUGAAUCAUCGAAUCUUUGAACGCACAUUGCGCCCCCUGGUAUUCCGGGGGGCAUGCCUGUUCGAGCGUCAUUUCACCACUCAAGCCUCGCUUGGUAUUGGGCGACGCGGUCCGCCGCGCGCCUCAAAUCGACCGGCUGGGUCUUUCGUCCCCUCAGCGUUGUGGAAACUAUUCGCUAAAGGGUGCCGCGGGAGGCCACGCCGUAAAACAACCCCAUUUCUAAGGUUGACCUCGGAUCAGGUAGGGAUGCCCGCUGAACUUAAGC